rnacentral:lncRNA from 1 species
GAGGAUGAAGCAAGGGCAUAACAAGAAUGAGAGGAGGAAGAAGAGGCAGAAAGGAAGCAAUACCCAUCCAGCUCUUAACCUUGGAUGAUCUGGGAAAUAUGCAAAAAGAUUUCAGUCAUUGUCCAGGAUUUGAAAGCAGGUCUGAAGAAAAAGAACUGAGGGCUAUGUGGCUUUGCUUGGUCUUCAUGAUGAAGGAGUGGAGGCAGGUACUGAGUAUCUCCAUGAUUCUCUCUCCUCUCUCAGAAAGUAAUCAGAUCCCUGAGGCCCAUAUCCAAGAACUACCAGUGGAGAGAUGCUGUGCAGGAUUAGAUGGCAAAACAUGCAACAGAACCAGAUGAGCUACUGUGGCCAUCAGUUAAAUAGGAUGCAAGAUAAAUGAGAGAGUGCAGGUAGUAAAACUGAACCGAUGCCUGAGCUCUGAAUUAUAAAAAAGUAGGAAUGUGAGGGCAUGUUAAUAUGACGCCAAUUCCUUUCUUGUCUUUUUCUUUUGACCAAUCUUAGUCCAUCACAGAAACAGAAAGAAUUCCAGAAUUGCUCCCUGCAAGAUAUUGAAGUCUUCAGAGACCAGCACUGGGAUAGGACUAGCGUGCUUUCUCUAAGUGAUCUUAAUUCAUCCUCUGAUAUACAAAGUAGUAAUCAAGACUCUUAGCUCUACACUGAAAAGGUCAAUAAGUACCAUAAGGAGACAUUGACAAGAAAAAGAUGAAAAAACUUUCUUGGGGGCUGCGGGAGCCAAAAAAAAAAACAAAACAAAACAAAACAAAAAAACAACAAAAAAAGCCUUUUUGAAAUUAUUUAGUUACAGUGGUGAGAUAAGCCAGCUACUUGCCUUUGGCAAUUUGAAUGACAAGAAGGUUUUCAAUACCAAUACUGUGAAAUGAUGGUUUCAUCUUUGUGUGUCCAAGCAAGCACUAGACAAGUGACAUUUUCAUAGGAUCAAAAUUAAUAUCAUUCCAGGACUACUACUUUAAAGAGGAUUACAGAAUGCAUCAAAUAAUGUUUAUCUAUUCAUAGCAAAUAAAUAAAUAAAAUCCCAUGCUCUUUAAUUACA